rnacentral:misc_RNA from 1 species
AUCUAGACUCCUUCCGAGUACUACAUUAUACAUUUUUUAAGAGAUAGAUAAAAUUUAUACAUAUAAUAUUGUUAUUAAAUGGAUUUUUGUAUGUAGAAUAUGAUCACGUGAUAAGUGCUGUGUGUUAUUCGCUUGUUAAAAAUGCUGAUUGUUUAAUAUUUCUACUCUACUUUACUUGGUGGGAUUGGAUCACCAUCAUUUCUUCCGCAUCUUCUUGAAUAUUGGAUGAACAUGGAAUACCGAGCUUCUUCUCUAGUCUGUGCUGUAGCACUGUUGUACUCUUGCUGUUAUUCAGAAGUUUUUGCUAAUCAUUUAACAAUAUUUCCAACGGGAAAACAAUUAAGACCUAUUGGGAAAAACCUUUUCAUUACCUGCAAAGCCAAUGUACAAAAUCCAGAGCUUAUACGGGAUCUCAAAUGGUUGGGACCUGAUGGUGAACCCGUUCCAGAAGGAGACAAGAAUUACAGCGCAAGAAUAUAUAUUGAGGAGCUCCCUGGAGAUCCAGCAAAGGCUUUAUUUAUCAAACAUCUACGAGAGGAGUACUCAGGAAAAUAUACAUGUUCAGCCAUUUAUGCCAAUAAUGAAAAACUCACGGCGGAUGUGGAAAUAUCUACAUAUAUUGGCAUUACAUGGGAUAAUGCUCCGUUAGAACAAUACGGGAUUAUCAAUACAGACUACAAAAUACGAUGUGUCGUAAGAGCAAAUCCUCCAGCAUCUGUGGACUGGCUCAAAGAGAGCUUGAUUCUCUCUACAGGUGCAAUAUCCAUCGAACCUAUUGUGGGAGGAAAUCGCUAUGUGAUUGAGUCAGAUGGUCUUUUAAUCAAGGACAUUAGUCGUGAAGAUGCUGGUACCUAUACAUGCAGAGCCAAAGUUUUUGAAACGGGGUCUCUGGAAGAACGGGAUAUCAAAUUAGAGGUCCAAGUUAAGCCCGAAUGGGUAACACGCCCAGGUCCUGUUAAAGGGGUUGAGAAUGAAAAAGCAGAGUUUCAUUGUAAGGCUUCCGGUACACCUCGUCCAACCUAUACGUGGGUAGAUUGGGAAGGACGUGAUGCUACAAACAAGGAUGGAUGGACACUCAAAAAGGACACUGGGCAUUUAAUUGCGUAUCAACUUCAUCGUAGAGAUGCUGGAGAAUAUCGCUGCAUUGCUGAAAACUCUGCAGGUCGCAUUGAGUCUUCCAAUUUUUUAAACGUGAUAAUCAAACCAAAGGUUCAGGAAUUGUAUAAUAAGACUUUUGUUGCCUCUGAUCCUGAAGGGAAAAUUGUUUGUAAGGCCUCUGGAGAUCCCAUGCCGGAUAUUUUUUGGAGAAAAUGGUCCAGCAAUGAACCGUUUAUUCCGGGUGGACAGCCAAAUGAUGAUCGCAUACUCGUGCACAAUUUUAUUGAGAGAGCACCUGACUACACAGAAGGAGAGCAAAAAUGGAGAGUCUCUGAGCUCACCAUUUCCAAUGUUGCUCGCAAGGACGAUGGACUUUACGAGUGUCAGGCUCGUAACGAAGGCGGUCAAUACUUUCGCUCUGGCCAUAUUCAAGUGGAGUUUUCUCCUACUUUUGAGGAGCAACCUAUGGAUAAACAAUGGUCAUGGGACCAAAACCCUAUUAAUUUGACCUGUAUUGCCACUGCAAUACCCAAUGCAACGAUCUCUUGGUGGAUUCGAGAUCGUGAAAUAGAUAGAGAAAUCAUUGAUCGCAACUAUCGGGUAUUUGGAAAAGGUCCAAGGAGUGAUUUAAUUGUGACUCCCCUUACGCGACAGUACUAUGGCCGAUACACCUGUAAGGCCUUCAAUAAUCAUGGACAGGCCUCGCAUGAAAUAUCAUUGAAGGAAGCGGAAGAGCCAAGUAUGAUUCAACAAGUUAUACAUGAUAAAGUCACAGCAACCACCGUGCAGUUUCGCUUUGUUGCACCCGUCAAUACGGGUGGACUUCCGCUGGACUCUUAUGCUGUUGAAUAUAAGGAAAAGUCAUUGGAGUGGAAGAAUGCAGAUCGCAGAGUUUGGCCUAUAAGCCCGAGUGGCUCCUACAUUCUAGAGAACCUUCAUCCAACUACAACCUAUCACUUCAGAUUUGCCUCCAAAAACCUUGUAGGCUUCUCUGAAUGGAUGAACGGAAUGCCCAUAAUUAUGCCUCAACGUGGCCCACCCGAGUCUCCUAUCAUUAUGGGAAUGCAUCUCUUACUUUCAGAGGGCUAUAAUGGACCCUCAGAAACAGAUGUAUCUCCCAACACGAUACAUAAUCUCACAAGCCCAAACUUUUUCGAAAUAGGUUGGUACAUCCCUGAGGAUAACGGAGAGCCCUUGGAUUACUUUGAGGUAUCUUAUUAUCCCAUUCGUGUAACCUAUCACGGAGACCAUUCUAAGAAACCCUACUCUAUGCCAACAAUUGGUCCACGAAUAGGCGAUCUCUAUCGUACUGAGGUUCCUCAUCCAGGGAACGUACGCUAUGAACUGAAAGACUUGUAUCCUAAUACUCAUUACACAAUAGAACUUCGAGCUCAUAACUCCUUUGGAUUCUCUCCUUCAUCCUUCAUCAUUAUUAAAACUGCUAAAGGUACAAAUGACAGUCUCCCUGAUCCUGGAUUUUACGAUCGAACAGGAGACGAUGAGUUCCCAGUAAGGAGCUUUAUCUUAAUUAUUAUUGCAUUAUUACUUCUGGGAUUUGUGUGUUUCAUACUAGUGGAUUUUGCACUCUGUAAAACACGGAAAAAGGGCUUCAUGUUUAAACUAUCGCGAAGAUUGAAGAAAUCCAGAAAAUAUGAGGGCAUCUCAUCUGAGAGGAAACAAUUAAAUCCUAAUCGUUCAUCUGCGCACUUGACUCACCCGUCUUCUACAACAACGCCCAAUCGGCCAAUGCAGAGGACUGAAAGCAGAGCACAAAACGGAACUGAAGAAGCUCCAGAGAUCAUCUCUCAUUAUGCUCAGUUGAGAUCUAAGCCAGCACCUACGAAAAUGAGUCCAUCUCAUCAUUAUUCCAUGCCUGCUUUAGACCUUUCAGAUGAUGAUAAUCACUAUGAAACUCCAAAUCAUAUCAUGCAAAAAUGUAGGAUGUAUGAAUCUGCAUGGAUGCUGAACGAAAAUAAAAGAUCUAAGGUGACUGAUAUAACCAAGAAGGACUCUCGCCAAACCCUUGUGAUUACGUUAAAUAUGUCUCCUAAAAAGACUAGAAAAGAAUAUAAAAGAGACUCGAUGGAUUUGAAAAAUUUGACACGAUCAUCACGGAGACUAGCUCAUGCUAGCAAUCAGGAUUUGAUAUAUGCCAACAUUUAAUGACAAGUGUUGACAUUCAUUAUCAUAAGAAAUACAUACUCUUUAUAAUUAAUUUUGAUGUUAAUACAAUAAGAUUAUCUGAACAAGAGACAUCCUCCUCCUCAGAGUGGAACAAGAGUCGUGUUAGACCUCCUCCACCAAUUCCUCCUCGAGCGAAUAAGACAAUAACAGUUGGACGAUCUAAACGUGGAAUUGAAUCCAUACUUUGAAAUUUGAGGCUCAAAGUAAAUCCUUUUAAUUUGUUCCAAUUUUUGUGUGCUUUCAAAAAAGAA